CCAUGAUGUAGUGAGCCAUUUUCCCCGAUGGACCCUUUCUAUUGAAUUCCCUCUCAGGCUUAUAAAAGCGUGAUUACAAGUCAGGGACAAAGUGAGCUGGCUGUACUACUUGGGGUUUUGUCAAAUCUGCCUCUGACAUGGACAUGCACUGGUGAUCCCCUGACUUGCUUCCUUCGGUGCGUGGAAAGCUGACCCUGGUGACAGCUCUGAGGUGAGAACGCUAGAGAGGAGCCGUGAAGGAUGCUGGCUGGUGAGCGACAGGAGAGACCCAGGCCCACAGGUCGGAGGAGACCCCUCCCCUCUCCAGAGCAUCCCUGUGGCCCCCGAGGGCAGCCAUCAAGGGAGCCAGGCUUAUCAGUAGUGUGUAGCUCCCAGGCACUUGAAACUGAACACGAACUCCAGAUGGGUGACCUUGGACAAUAAUGACUAUCACGACACACAUCUUACUGGGUUAUUCUGGAUCACACGAGAACCUCCUCAUGCAACAGGAUGUGAAAAUGGAAGCUUCUAUUCAGUCCUCAAGCCACGAUACAUGUCAUAUUCCGACACCAAAUCAUCACACAGACAGUUUACAAAGAAAAUGUCCCUAAACUGAUUCAAGAUCUCUUGAACUUCUCACCAGCUUUAAGAUAAUAAAAAGAAUCAAGAGGUGGAGAGGACCGAGAAUAU
ensembl:lncRNA